rnacentral:lncRNA from 1 species
UUAGCGAGCAACUCUGCAUGCAUGUCAAGUAUAUACCUGCUCAAAUGCUCAUCGUAUGUUUCUUUGUCUAGUAGCACAACCUUCUUGGAUUUGUCGUCUCUGGUUAUGGUUACUUUAUUUUCUUGCAUCCAUCUGUGCACUUUCUUAAGAAGCAUCUGUUCUUUAUUACCUGCUGCAUCUGACUUCUGCUCCAAUUUCUAUGGCUCAUAACUUCCUCCAUGAAUUUCCACCUAUACCUUUCUUUGUCCAGAUCAUGCAUGCUUCCCAAUAUUCGCUCAAACAGGGGUAUGAGGUCCUCAAAGCAUUUAAUGUUUCUUAUGGCACAGGAGGGGCCUAGUUUAAGAACUUGCUCGACAUACUCUGGUGGUUCUAAGUUCCCUACAACAAUUGCUACAUCCUCUAGUUCUAUCUUCUGCCUAUUAUGGGUCUGUCUAAGUUGAGUCUUUAGCAACCAUUUCAAUUUCUUAAUGUGGUCCGUUCUAAGCUUUCUCUUUAUCUUAACCAUAUCAGCCUCACAAACUUCUACUAUAUAAUCAUAGUUAGGUAGGUUUAGUUCUUCUAUUCUAGCUACUGUAAUGGUCUUGUCUCUUCUUAGGGCGUAAACCCUCCUCUUACUUUCUGUAAUUGCCGUUUUUAAGCAAAUCUUCCUUGU